UAGGAGUAAGUUAAUCAAACUAAUGUGGUUCAAACACAUCAAUGGUGUUUUCAAUCUGGCAUCUUCCUUG
rnacentral:tRNA from 1 species